rnacentral:rRNA from 1 species
UACGUAGGGUGCGAGCGUUGUCCGGAAUUACUGGGCGUAAAGAGCUCGUAGGUGGUUUGUCGCGUUGUUCGUGAAAACCGGGGGCUUAACCCUCGGCGUGCGGGCGAUACGGGCAGACUAGAGUGUGGUAGGGGAGACUGGAAUUCCUGGUGUAGCGGUGGAAUGCGCAGAUAUCAGGAGGAAUACCGGUGGCGAAGGCGGCAUCCUGGACCGGCAUUGACGCUGAGGAGCGAAAGCUAGGGGAGCAAACGGG